UCAUGGUUAGGGGGCCGUAAUUGAUAGUGGGACGAGAGGAGUAAUUCCGUGUGCAUUUAAUUUUUUCACGCUGCUUCCAUAAAACGUGUUCGAUCCCACUGACAUAACCGAAGAAUUAGGAAAUAAGGAUACCUUAAAGAGGAGAUAUGGAUUCUGUGCAGCCGCAGGAGUAGGUGGGAAGCACGGCAACAAACAAUCCAAAUCAAGAGAACGUGAGGAUAUGUAAGGGAUGCUUCACAGUCCUCCAUGCCGGCAGCUUCGAUGAUGCACUGAAGUAAUUGACUGCACCUGUUUAAGCUCCAUG